UCGAGAAUCUUUCACAAUGGGCGAAAGCCUGAUGGAGCGACGCCGCGUGGAGGAUGAAGGCCUUCGGGUUGUAAACUCCUGUCAUGAGGGAACAAGAAAGUGAUAGUACCUCAAGAGGAAGAGACGGCUAACUCUGUGCCAGCAGCCGCGGUAAUACAGAGGUCUCAAGCGUUGUUCGGAUUUACUGGGCGUAAAGGGUGCGUAGGUGGCGCGUUAAGUCAGAUGUGAAAGCCCCGGGCUCAACCUGGGAACGGCAUUUGAAACUGGCGUGCUAGAGUUUGGUAGAGGGGGGCGGAAUUUCAGGUGUAGCGGUGAAAUGCGUAGAUAUCUGAAGGAACACCAGUGGCGAAGGCGGCCCCCUGGACCAGAACUGACGCUGAGGUACGAAAGCGUGGGUAGCAAACAGGAUUAGAUACCCAUGUAGUCCCUGAGCGGGCUGGCAAGGCGCAU
rnacentral:rRNA from 1 species